rnacentral:misc_RNA from 1 species
GUCUUCUCAUGUUUUUGAUGUCCACCGAGGCCCCAUGUCAGAAUUAUGGGCUCCAAAGUCAUCUUUCCUAGUCAAUAUUUGUUGAUUCCAAAAGAACGGCACUUGUAAUAUCUGUUUUCUUUUGUUGUAAAUAUUUCACUGAUAAAAAAACCAACUCCUUUGCCUAUUAUUCAAUGGUUAAACUCAAAGAGAAACUAACAAGCAUUCUACAGGUGUAAACCACAUAAUGC